UCAAAUUAAUACCGUCCUGCCUUUUCUCUUUGGGUGAAAGUUUUCUGGUUGGAACUUCGAAUAACACCGUUUCCAGUGAGAGCGGAAUCAAGAUACAGGAAAUUACAAAUCAAGGUUGAUUCUCGUCGAGAUCCAUUGGGUGAAGGAACUGAUACCUACAUAUCCAGCUUUCAGAUCCAAUCAAGCUUCUUUCUAUAUAGAUGAAGCUGUUGCAUUUCGCCUUUUUGCUUGCUUUAGCUUCUGGAUUUACCGCUAUACUCAUCUACAUUAACGGUGUUUCUAACCUAUAUGGCAAUUAUCAACUUUCCGACGAGGAUUUUGAAGCUCUGCAAUCUCUUCAGGGCAAUUUCCAGAAGUGUGUGAGUGCGAAUGGAUUGGGUUUACAAGCUGAAGGUGGUGAUGAUUAUUGCCUAGUUACAAUGAGGUUUCCUCAAGAUACUAUUCCCAAAUGGAAAGACCCUAAAACUGGUGAUCUUGAAGGCUUAUCAUAUGAAUUUAAUCUUUGCGAAGCUGUGGCAAUUUGGGAACAGGUGCGGAACAGUACCACCAUACUGACCAGGGAGUACAUUGAUGGCUUGCCAAAUGGAUGGGAGGAGUAUGCUUGGCGUAGGAUUAACAAGGGAGUACUUCUUAAUCGUUGCGUGAAUAAAACAUUGUGCAUGGAGAAACUUUCCCUAGUACUUCCUGAAACACCACCAUAUGUACCAAAACAGUAUGGUCGUUGUGCUGUUGUGGGAAAUUCUGGAGAUCUCUUGAAAACCAAAUUUGGGGAGGAAAUAGAUGGUUUUGAUGUUGUUAUCAGGGAAAAUGGGGCCCCUAUCCAGAACUAUACUGACCAUGUGGGUAAAAAGAGCACCUUUCGUCUUCUUAAUAGAGGAUCUGCGAAAGCUCUGGAUAAAGUCGUGGAGUUAGAUGAAACAAGAAGGGAGGUUUUGUUGGUUAAAACAACAAUUCAUGACAUCAUGAACAAGAUGAUUAAGGAGGUUCCAAUAAAAAAUCCUGUCUAUCUCAUGCUUGGUGCUUCAUUUGGUUCUGCUGCAAAAGGAACUGGGCUCAAGGCUCUUGAGUUUGCUCUCUCUAUAUGUGACUCUGUAGAUAUGUAUGGUUUCACUGUUGAUCCUGGUUAUAAAGAAUGGACAAGAUACUUUUCAGAAUCUCGACAAGGUCAUACACCUCUUCAUGGUAGGGCGUAUUACCAGAUGAUGGAAUGUUUGGGUGAAGUAAUAGUAUUUUAUAAACUGUUUAGCUUGUCAAAAUCCAUUCUCCAAUGCGACCUAACCCUCGCCGGGUGGUGAAGUGGGUACCAAGCCAAAAGAUGGUUAAUGCUGCUAGAGUUGCAUCUGAGAAACGAUUGAGGAAGGUUGGAGCUGGUUCUAGAGACCCAUUGGCUGCAUGUUCCAUCAUAAAAAUGCAAAGCAGAAGUACGCCAAUAUCAAUUUCAAGCUUACGCAAACCUGCCGCUGACCAUCAAAAAUAUGUGAGAGGCACAACCAUGUAUCCUUUGGAGCAUAAUCCUGGUCGUGGCCUUCUUUGCACAGUGCCACCAAGUUGAAUCCAUGAAUUGAUUGAUGAAGUUCAUUUCUAACCAGACAUCGUUGCAGCAGAGGAUUGAAAGACAAGAAGACAUCAUCCAUUUUUUCAAAAUUCAGAACUUCUGCAUGCACAUCUUCCGAGUCUUGAAACUUGGGAUUUUUCAGUCCAUGUAUUCUUGAUUCAUUCUCUUUCUAGCAAUAGCACGAGCAUUCAUCGGUGGUGACUGCAUUAAAAGGUCUUAGUGGUUAUUUUUCACCCAUUGUUCGUGCAAUUUAGUUCGAAGAGUAAUUGCAAAUACGCCUUUUGUCAUUCAGGCUUGUUCCUGCUCGUCCGAGAACAAUUUUUUUCUCCUGUAAAGUCUGGAUUGGUGAGGUGAGCUGAUUUUGAUAUAGAAAUUGAUAUUAUGAAUUUAUUUGGACUGCCGACUGCCCCACAUAUUGAUUAUUGAGUGGAGUGGUUUAUAA